AUUGAACGCUGGCGGCAGGCCUAACACAUGCAAGUCGAGCGGGGUUUUCGGACCUAGCGGCGGACGGGGGAGUAAUGCGUAGGAAGCUACCCGAUAGAGGGGGAUACCAGUUGGAAACGACUGUUAAUACCGCAUAAUGUCUACGGACCAAAGUGUGGGACCUUCGGGCCACAUGCCAUCGGAUGCGCCUACGUGGGAUUAGCUAGUUGGUGGGGUAAUGGCUCACCAAGGCGACGAUCCCUAGCUGGUUUGAGAGGCUGAUCAGCCACACUGGAACUGAGACACGGUCCAGACUCCUACGGGAGGCAGCAGUGGGGAAUAUUGGACAAUGGGCGCAAGCCUGAUCCAGCCAUGCCGCGUGUGUGAAGAAGGCCUUCGGGUUGUAAAGCACUUUCAGCGAGGAGGAAGGGAGUUGUGUUAAUAGCACAGCUUUUUGACGUUACUCGCAGAAGAAGCACCGGCUAACUCUGUGCCAGCAGCCGCGGUAACAC
rnacentral:rRNA from 1 species